rnacentral:rRNA from 1 species
UUGGCUCAGGAUGAACGCUGGCGGCAGGCUUAACACAUGCAAGUCGAGCGAAGCUUCUUCCAUGAUUUCUUCGGAUUGAAUGGAAGGAUGACUGAGCGGCGGACGGGUGAGUAACGCGUGGGGAACCUGCCUUAUACCGGGGGAUAACAGUUAGAAAUGGCUGCUAAUACCGCAUAAGCGCACGGCACCGCAUGGUGCUGUGUGAAAAACUCCGGUGGUAUAAGAUGGACCCGCGUUGGAUUAGCCAGUUGGCGGGGUAACGGCCCACCAAAGCGACGAUCCAUAGCCGGCCUGAGAGGGCGACCGGCCACAUUGGGACUGAGACACGGCCCAGACCCCUACGGGAGGCAGCAGUGGGGAAUA